GAAGGGAUCGUUUGAUUGCUGCAUCUCUCUUGCUAUAAUUUGAAAUAAUAGGUGGUUUAACCAAGUCAUGCAGAAAGGUCUAACCUGAGCAUUUAUAUAAUUUAAUAAAUCUAGUUGUAUCAAAUUUCUCCCCAAAACUGCCAAAAACAUUGAUAAAUAGGAUAAACACUACAAAAGAGGGUAAUUCAGUUAAGUAAACAUUCUAUAGAAGUGUUUCAAAAGAACCAUUUAUUCAAAGGUUAAAAUUGUUGAACUUUUGGGAUUUAAAACCAUGUUGAGAAUCAAAUAAGUCAGUUAAAUAUGUAGUGACAGGGUUAGCUUUAUUCUUGUAAAAAAAAAAAGCAGGCUAAUUAUUAUAUGAGAUUUUAAAAUGAGAAGAAAAUAUGAGGAUUCAAAUUAAAUUGGUCUAAAUUGGGAUUUACAGAUGAGCAAUUAUGAAACUGCUUAAAGCGGGUCAAAAAAGAUUGACAGAAUAAAAAAGAAUCUAGUCCUAUGUGUAAUUGUUGAUUCAAGGUAAUAAUGCCUAAACAUUUCUCAUAAUCAUAAUUUAUAGUUUUUGUUUUGAGACAAAAUAGGGUUGUCUUUUAUUACAUGAAUGGAAUAUAUUACAAGGGAUCUUAAUUUAACACGGAUCAUUAAUGUUCACACUAUUGAUGAUAUUUUACAAGCCUUUAGUAUAGCGGGUUACUUCUUGUUAAAUGAGGACUAUUUGAUUGAAGUUAAUUAAAAUAACAAAAGCAAAAGAUUUAUGUAUGGUUUAAGAUUUCUGGUAAAGUUUCUAUUAGGGAUAAUUCAUAUAUACAUUUCAAAUGAUAUUUCUUUGAUAAAACAUGACUGUGGGCAGUUUUGUACAUUUAUUUCAUAAUCUGAUCUUUUACUUGAUUUUUUGUUUGGUUUCUGAUUUUGUCUGAUCCUAUGAAUAUGCCAACACUUAAAACAAACAAUGUUAUUCUUGAAGGUUGAAAUGUGUUACUUAAUUUAAACAUUUCUUUUGCUAUUAUUGAGAGGAGAACUGAAAUAAUAAAUGUUACUGAUAUAUUGAUGCUCUAUUGGCUUAGUAUGAGAAAAACACAAAAAGAACUAACUUGAUCUUCAGCUUCAAGGAGAAGCCUUUAAAUAAAAAAGAA